rnacentral:rRNA from 1 species
AGCAGUAGCCGCGGUAAUACGUAGGUGGCAAGCGUUGUCCGGAAUUAUUGGGCGUAAAGCGUGCGCAGGCGGUUAUAUAAGUCAGAUGUGAAAUCCCCGGGCUUAACCUGGGAACUGCGCUUGUGACUGCACAGCUAGAGUAUGGCAGAGGGGGGUGGAAUUCCACGUGUAGCAGUGAAAUGCGUAGAGAUGUGGAGGAACACCGAUGGCGAAGGCAGCCCCCUGGGCCAAUACUGACGCUCAUGCACGAAAGCGUGGGGAGCAAACAGGAUUAGAUACCCGCGUAGUCCCUGUCUCUUAUAC